AAUGAACGCUGGCGGCGCGCCUAAUACAUGCAAGUCGAGCGAGAAGACGUAGCAAUACGUUUGUAAAGCGGCGAACGGGUGAGGAAUACAUGGGUAACCUACCCUCGAGUGGGGAAUAACUAGCCGAAAGGUUAGCUAAUACCGCGUACGCUUCUUGGACUUCGGUUCAGGGAGGAAAGCGAUGCCGAGGGUAUCGCGCUCUUGGAUGGGCUCAUGUCCUAUCAGCUUGUGGUGAGGUAACGGCUCACCAAGGCUUCGACGGGUAGCUGGUCUGAGAGGACGAUCAGCCACACUGUCACUGCGACACGGGCCAGACUCCUACGGGAGGCAGCAGUAAGGAAUAUUGCGCAAUGGGCGAAAGCCUGACGCAGCGACGCCGCGUGGGGGAUGAAGGUCUUCGGAUUGUAAA
rnacentral:rRNA from 1 species